rnacentral:rRNA from 1 species
UACCAGCUCUCCGAGUGGUAGGGAUGAUUAUUGGGCUUAAAGCGUCCGUAGCCGGCUUAGCAAGUUUCCUGUUAAAUUCAGCGACCUAAUCGUUGAGCCGCGGGAAAUACUACUAGGCUAGGAGGCGGGAGAGGUCGACGGUACUUCUGGGGUAGGGGUGAAAUCCUAUAAUCCCGGGAGGACCACCAGUGGCGAAGGCAGUCGACUAGAACGCGCUCGACGGUGAGGGACGAAAGCUGGGGGAGCGAACCGGAUUAGAUACCCGGGUAGUCCCAGCUGUAAACGAUGCGGGCUAGGUGUUGGGGUGGCUACGUGCCACUUCAGUGCCGCAGGGAAGCCAUUAAGCCCGCCGCCUGGGGAGUACGGCCGCAAGGCUGAAACUUAAAGGAAUUGGCGGGGGAGCACCACAAGGCGUGAAGCUUGCGGUUC